rfam:Nectria haematococca mpVI 77-13-4 chromosome 1 genomic scaffold NECHAsca_1_chr1_3_0, whole genome shotgun sequence.
GGUCGUGUGGUGUAGUGGUAUCACAUUGGUCUUACAGAGGGACAUCCUCUAGAACACCACAGGUCGUAGGUUCGAACCCUGCCACGAUCA